rnacentral:rRNA from 1 species
UACGUAGGUGGCAAGCGUUGUCCGGAUUUACUGGGCGUAAAGAGCGCGCAGGCGGUCGUACAAGUCGCGUGUGAAAGCCCCCGGCUCAACUGGGGAGGGUCACGCGAUACUGUUCGACUCGAAGGCAGGAGAGGGAAGCGGAACUCCCGGUGUAGUGGUGAAAUGCGUAGAUAUCGGGAGGAACACCAGUGGCGAAGGCGGCUUCCUGGCCUGUUCUUGACGCUGAGGCGCGAAAGCUAGGGUAGCAAACGGG